rnacentral:lncRNA from 1 species
GAAAGAAAGUUGUCCUUAUCUUCUCCUCCAACCGCUACCUCCUCCCGACAUGAAGGAAUGCCCAAUUAUCCUUCGGGGGCUGGUAUGUCCUUUCAGUUCUGGUCUGGGGAAGGCCGAUCAAAGAAAGGACUCCUAUACUGCCUGGUGUUGAUUCGGCAAUUUGCGUCUAGUGGGGAGCUUUGUCAUCUCAAAGAAUAAGCGGAUCUUAAUCUUAAAGUCGUGGAUCUCCUGAUGGCGGCUAGCUGCUUUCUGCUCUCCUUAUUAGUUUAGUGCCAACUCCGCUAGGUAUAGGUAGGGAGUCUUCUACAAGUCGCAUUACUGGUCGAUGACCCGAUUUUGGAAGCAGUCGAGAUGCCUUUGCUGGGGGAACCCUUCCUUGCAUUCUUUUAUUGUAUUCGCUUCAAUCGCCCAUGAUUGAGACAAAGGUAGAUGAGAAGAAAUUCUUUUUCUUUCAUAGUCUGCUAAUUUUCUUCUUCUUGCAUCUCGUCGAUACGAUA